rnacentral:rRNA from 1 species
UACGUAGGGGGCAAGCGUUGUCCGGAAUCAUUGGGCGUAAAGAGCGCGUAGGCGGUCCGGUAAGUCCGCUGUGAAAGUCGGGGGCUCAACCCUCGAAUGCCGGUGGAUACUGUCGGGCUAGAGUCCGGAAGAGGCGAGUGGAAUUCCUGGUGUAGCGGUGAAAUGCGCAGAUAUCAGGAGGAACACCGAUGGCGAAGGCGACUACCUGGACCAGCACUGACACUGAGGCACGAAAGCGUGGGGAGCAAACAGG